rnacentral:misc_RNA from 1 species
UCCGGCUUAACACCGGCAGUCUCCCUAGAGUCCCCAACUUAAUGAUGGUAACUAAGGAUAGGGGUUGCGCUCGUUGCCGGACUUAACCGAACAUUUCACAACACGAGCUGACGACAGCCAUGCAGCACCUGUCUUCUUGUCCCCGAAGGGAAAGCCGUAUCUCUACGGUUGUCAAGAGAUGUCAAGGCCAGGUAAGGUUCUUCGCGUUGCUUCGAAUUAAACCACAUACUCCACCGCUUGUGCGGGCCCCCGUCAAUUCCUUUGAGUUUUAGCCUUGCGACCGUACUCCCCAGGCGGGUUACUUAAUGCGUGAGCUUUGGUACUCGCUGGGUUAAUCCAGCAAACACCUAGUAACCAUCGUUUAUGGUGCGGACUAC